rnacentral:rRNA from 3 species
AAAUUGAAGAGUUUGAUCAUGGCUCAGAUUGAACGCUGGCGGCAGGCCUAACACAUGCAAGUCGAGCGGUAGCACAGAGAGCUUGCUCUCGGGUGACGAGCGGCGGACGGGUGAGUAAUGUCUGGGAAACUGCCUGAUGGAGGGGGAUAACUACUGGAAACGGUAGCUAAUACCGCAUAACGUCGCAAGACCAAAGUGGGGGACCUUCGGGCCUCAUGCCAUCAGAUGUGCCCAGAUGGGAUUAGCUAGUAGGUGGGGUAACGGCUCACCUAGGCGACGAUCCCUAGCUGGUCUGAGAGGAUGACCAGCCACACUGGAACUGAGACACGGUCCAGACUCCUACGGGAGGCAGCAGUGGGGAAUAUUGCACAAUGGGCGCAAGCCUGAUGCAGCCAUGCCGCGUGUGUGAAGAAGGCCUUCGGGUUGUAAAGCACUUUCAGCGGGGAGGAAGGCGUUAAGGUUAAUAACCUUGGCGAUUGACGUUACCCGCAGAAGAAGCACCGGCUAACUCCGUGCCAGCAGCCGCGGUAAUACGGAGGGUGCAAGCGUUAAUCGGAAUUACUGGGCGUAAAGCGCACGCAGGCGGUCUGUCAAGUCGGAUGUGAAAUCCCCGGGCUCAACCUGGGAACUGCAUUCGAAACUGGCAGGCUAGAGUCUUGUAGAGGGGGGUAGAAUUCCAGGUGUAGCGGUGAAAUGCGUAGAGAUCUGGAGGAAUACCGGUGGCGAAGGCGGCCCCCUGGACAAAGACUGACGCUCAGGUGCGAAAGCGUGGGGAGCAAACAGGAUUAGAUACCCUGGUAGUCCACGCCGUAAACGAUGUCGAUUUGGAGGUUGUGCCCUUGAGGCGUGGCUUCCGGAGCUAACGCGUUAAAUCGACCGCCUGGGGAGUACGGCCGCAAGGUUAAAACUCAAAUGAAUUGACGGGGGCCCGCACAAGCGGUGGAGCAUGUGGUUUAAUUCGAUGCAACGCGAAGAACCUUACCUGGUCUUGACAUCCACAGAACUUUCCAGAGAUGGAUUGGUGCCUUCGGGAACUGUGAGACAGGUGCUGCAUGGCUGUCGUCAGCUCGUGUUGUGAAAUGUUGGGUUAAGUCCCGCAACGAGCGCAACCCUUAUCCUUUGUUGCCAGCGGUUAGGCCGGGAACUCAAAGGAGACUGCCAGUGAUAAACUGGAGGAAGGUGGGGAUGACGUCAAGUCAUCAUGGCCCUUACGACCAGGGCUACACACGUGCUACAAUGGCAUAUACAAAGAGAAGCGACCUCGCGAGAGCAAGCGGACCUCAUAAAGUAUGUCGUAGUCCGGAUUGGAGUCUGCAACUCGACUCCAUGAAGUCGGAAUCGCUAGUAAUCGUAGAUCAGAAUGCUACGGUGAAUACGUUCCCGGGCCUUGUACACACCGCCCGUCACACCAUGGGAGUGGGUUGCAAAAGAAGUAGGUAGCUUAACCUUCGGGAGGGCGCUUACCACUUUGUGAUUCAUGACUGGGGUGAAGUCGUAACAAGGUAACCGUAGGGGAACCUGCGGUUGGAUCACCUCCUUACCUUAAAGAA